AAGCAGAGGAAAAAAUAAAAACCUGGCUGAAGUAUAGUGGAGACCGAAAUGGAGGAAGAAAAAAAAGAGCAAUAGAAAAAGAAAAGCAGAUGCCUCCCCCUCAAUUAGAUUCCAGCAGCAGUGAAAGUGAAUGAGUAUGCUGCUUCUCCUCCUC